rnacentral:lncRNA from 1 species
CCAUCAAUUGAUUCUCAUGAUGCUCUUUCAACAUUAAGAAUUGGCACCUGCAAAAUAAACAAGAAAACAUAUAUAAGAGAUUCAUAUGAACCGAAGAAACAAUAUAUAUGUAAAAAUAAAAAUAAACCUUGUCAUACUCAGGAAGAGAGAUUGUGCAGCUUUAAACAAAUAUAUACAAAAGAAAGCAAAAACAAAUAUAAUUAUAAUAAGGGACUCGCACAAAUGUUAGUAAACCAUAGUUCACAUAGAUCUAAUAACAAAGCACUUUGACAAAAAUUAUGUCAACACUAAGAUUUUAUUUUUACACAACAAUGUUUAGAUUACCUUUCAAUUAUAACUUCUUACUAGCUUUCUAUUCAUUUUCCCAGUUUUUUUUGGCUAACAACAGAAUCAAACAUUACCUUCACAAGCAGAAAAACAACUAUUGUUUUCACCAAACCUAUCAAAUGAGAAACUAGGAUCAAUAAUUAACAUAAACCAUUAACCAAAAAGAGAGACAUAUCAUAAGAUCUAGAUAUUAUUAUAUACCUACCACGUAGAUCUGAUGAGAAAUGUGUGGAUCUGAAGAUUAUUAUAUUUACCAUGUAGAUCUGAUAUGCCUCUUUGUUCCUCAACGAUGAGCAGCUUUAUAUAUUUCUUCUUGUGUAUACCAUGAUAGAAAAACAAAAAGAAAAUCGUUCAGAGUUGUGAAAACUUAAAACGAAAAACACGGUAAAGAAAUCAAACACGAAGAAAAUGGAGGAGAUAUGGUAGGGACUUUGAGUUCGACGGCGGUGGCGGGAUGUGACGGCGGAGAACGAGUUGAGAAAACGGAGGAGAAGCAGCGAAUUGACGGCGGCGGCUGAGUUUUUCACUAUGCUGCUAGGGUUUAGAAAAAUCACAAAGUGUGAGUGGGAGAGGGAACACAAUGAAUUGGCCAAAGUUAAGUGGAAAAACUUACUCUACGACGUGUUGUAUUUAUUAUUAAUAAUAAAUAAUAAAAAUG